GACAGAGGGUGCAAACGUUUGUUCGGAAUUACUGGGCGUAAAGCGCGUGUAGGCGGCUCUGCAAGUCGGAUGUGAAAGCCCUCGGCUCAACCGAGGAAGUGCACCCGAAACUGCGAGCUAGAGUCUUUGGAGAGGAUCGUGGAAUUCUCGGUGUAGAGGUGAAAUUCGUAGAUAUCGAGAGGAACACCGGUGGCGAAGGCGGCGAUCUGGACGAUGACUGACGCUGAGACGCGAAAGCGUGGGGAGCAAACAGG
rnacentral:rRNA from 1 species